UCUAGCCAGACCAGAUUCCACCCCACGUUCAACAAACCACACAAGAGUUCAUUUCCGUCUCCUUGCUGAUACCCUCCUCCGCGUGUACAAUACACGCUCCUGCGAAGUUCAAGUCCGCCAUCUUCUGUGAGGCCCGCGCCAGCAGUUCCAGCGGUCUUGGGCCUUCUCCCGAGUUCCGAAGGUUCUGGAUUUCUAGGCAGGCACGGUCAUGAUCAUUGUAACCAGUGCGUGACCCCCAGCGUCGCUACAAAAGGAAAUGGAGCUCCGUCUUCGGUGACAGGUCUAAAGUCCACAUGUAUAAUGGUGGCAAAUCAGAGUAAGAAUCGUCCUGGGAAACCUUUUCAUUGGCUCACCCCCAAAAUACAGCAUCCGUGGUUUUGUACAUGUCUCACUACGUCAAGUCUUGGAGUUGAAUUAAACGAUCGUGAAAUGCAAUGCGAAUGAAUACAAACGGUUAAGAUGAUGAAUUGAUUCUACAACUGAAAACUGCAGGCCAGGUCGCAGGGACAAAGGUGCAAGUGCGUCAGUUCGGAAGCUGUUACGACACAUCCUCGAGCCCCAAGUCUCUGCUAACACUUGGAAAAUCCCCCACCCCUCAAUUUCUCCAAAUGACCCGUCAGCUUUGCGGCACCUUCUCUAGACUAUAUACCUAUCUUCAUCCCUUUACAUAUGAAUUGUUCGCAAAAAAAAAAAAAAAAAAAGGGGGGGGCAGCAACUUUUUUCGAAAGUAUUUCUCUCAAAAUAAGAGCAAAAUCUAGGUUGUGGAAAAAUGCUUUUGAUAUCUGGCUAAAGGUUAUUCAGGAGAGUCUGCAUAUUUUUCAAGUCAGACGCAAAUCCAGUUAAGGCAAAAACACCGCAAAAAUGUCGAUCUCCACCUGGUCUCUCCUUCCACACACACACAAAAUCGAGUCUAGUCACAAAAAGAAAUGCUCUAUGUAAUUAUCGUAUGACCCACAAUUGCACUACUGGGCAUUUAUCCCAAGAAAAAUGAAAACUGAUGUUCACACAAAAACCUGUACACGAAUGUUUAUAGCGGUUUUAUUCAAAAGGGUCAGAAACCGGAAACCACCCCGAAGUCCUGACUGGUGGUUAGACAAUGUGCGGGGCUGCCGCACCACGGAAUGCUACCCAGCAAUAAAACAGAACUACUGAUUCGUGCGAGUUGAAUCUCUAGGAAAAAUGUGCUGAGAGAAGCCAGGCCCAGAAGGUAACAUACUAUAUAAUUCCACUUCUAGAACAUUCUCGAACAGACAAAAUUAUAGAAACGGAGAACAGGUGAGCGGUUGCUAGGGUUGAGAGGGGCAGGAGAGGAGGUGAUUGGAUAUGAAAUGGUACUAUGGGGGCUCCCUGUACUGAUGGAAAUGUUAGGUACCUUGACUCUAUCGAUGUUAAUGCCCAGGUCGUGUGAUGUGACACUGCAUGUUAUAAAUGUCACUAUUGGGGAAGACGGGGGUGAAAAGUACAAGGAGCCCCUCCCUUAAGUAGGACACCUGCAUGUGACAUCUAUUAUCUCAUAAAAUAAAGUUUUAUUAAAAAUUUGAGAAAAAGAAAUUGUUCUAGCCUAAUAA